AUUGAACGCUGGCGGCAUGCUUUACACAUGCAAGUCGAACGGCAGCGCGGGCUUCGGCCUGGCGGCGAGUGGCGAACGGGUGAGUAAUGCAUCGGAACGUGCCCAGUAGUGGGGGAUAGCCCGGCGAAAGCCGGAUUAAUACCGCAUACGACCUGAGGGUGAAAGCGGGGGACCGAAAGGCCUCGCGCUAUUGGAGCGGCCGAUGUCGGAUUAGCUAGUUGGUGGGGUAAAGGCUUACCAAGGCGACGAUCCGUAGCUGGUCUGAGAGGACGACCAGCCACACUGGGACUGAGACACGGCCCAGACUCCUACGAGAGGCAGCAGUGGGGAAUUUUGGACAAUGGGGGCAACCCUGAUCCAGCCAUGCCGCGUGCGGGAAGAAGGCCUUCGGGUUGUAAACCGCUUUUGCUCGGGAAGAAAUCCUCUGGGCUAAUACCCCGGGGGGAUGACGGUACCGGAAGAAUAAGCACCGGCUAACUACGUG
rnacentral:rRNA from 1 species